rnacentral:rRNA from 1 species
GACGAACGCUGGCGGCGUGCUUAACACAUGCAAGUCGAACGGAAAGGCCCUGCUUUUGUGGGGUGCUCGAGUGGCGAACGGGUGAGUAACACGUGAGUAACCUGCCCUUGACUUUGGGAUAACUUCAGGAAACUGGGGCUAAUACCGGAUAGGAGCUCCUGCUGCAUGGUGGGGGUUGGAAAGUUUCGGCGGUUGGGGAUGGACUCGCGGCUUAUCAGCUUGUUGGUGGGGUAGUGGCUUACCAAGGCUUUGACGGGUAGCCGGCCUGAGAGGGUGACCGGCCACAUAGGGACGGAGAUAGGGCCCGGACUCCUACGGGCGGCAGGAGGGGGGAAGGUAGCACGAUGGACGGAGGCCUGAUGCAGGAACGCCGGGUGCGGGAUUGCGGCCUUCGGUUGGUAAGCCGCUUUCGCCUGGGACGAAGGAUAAGGAAGGGAAAUGGGUAAGAAGGCCCGGGCAAACACGUG